GACGAACGCUGGCGGCGUGCUUAACACAUGCAAGUCGAACGGAAAGGCCCUGCUUUUGUGGGGUGCUCGAGUGGCGAACGGGUGAGUAACACGUGAGUAACCUGCCCUUGACUUUGGGAUAACUUCAGGAAACUGGGGCUAAUACCGGAUAGGAGCUCCUGCUGCAUGGUGGGGGUUGGAAAGUUUCGGCGGUUGGGGAUGGACUCGCGGCUUAUCAGCUUGUUGGUGGGGUAGUGGCUUACCAAGGCUUUGACGGGUAGCCGGCCUGAGAGGGUGACCGGCCACAUUGGGACUGAGAUACGGCCCAGACUCCUACGGGAGGCAGCAGUGGGGAAUAUUGCACAAUGGGUGGAAGCCUGAUGCAGCAACGCCGCGUGCGGGAUGACGGCCUUCGGGUUGUAAACCGCUUUCGCCUGUGACGAAGCAUGAGUGACGGUAAUGGGUAAAGAAGCACCGGCUAACUACGUG
rnacentral:rRNA from 1 species